rnacentral:rRNA from 1 species
UACGUAGGAGGCAAGCGUUAUCCGGAUUUACUGGGUGUAAAGGGAGCGUAGACGGCGAUGCAAGUCUGAAGUGAAAGGCGGGGGCCCAACCCCCGGACUGCUUUGGAAACUGUAUGGCUGGAGUGCAGGAGAGGUAAGUGGAAUUCCUAGUGUAGCGGUGAAAUGCGUAGAUAUUAGGAGGAACACCAGUGGCGAAGGCGGCUUACUGGACUGUAACUGACGUUGAGGCUCGAAAGCGUGGGGAGCAAACAGG